GGUUAAGCGACUAAGCGUACACGGUGGAUGCCCUGGCAGUCAGAGGCGAUGAAGGACGUGCUAAUCUGCGAUAAGCGUCGGUAAGGUGAUAUGAACCGUUAUAACCGGCGAUUUCCGAAUGGGGAAACCCAGUGUGUUUCGACACACUAUCAUUAACUGAAUCCAUAGGUUAAUGAGGCGAACCGGGGGAACUGAAACAUCUAAGUACCCCGAGGAAAAGAAAUCAACCGAGAUUCCCCCAGUAGCGGCGAGCGAACGGGGAGGAGCCCAGAGCCUGAAUCAGUGUGUGUGUUAGUGGAAGCGUCUGGAAAGGCGCGCGAUACAGGGUGACAGCCCCGUACACAAAAAUGCACAUGCUGUGAGCUCGAUGAGUAGGGCGGGACACGUGGUAUCCUGUCUGAAUAUGGGGGGACCAUCCUCCAAGGCUAAAUACUCCUGACUGACCGAUAGUGAACCAGUACCGUGAGGGAAAGGCGAAAAGAACCCCGGCGAGGGGAGUGAAAAAGAACCUGAAACCGUGUACGUACAAGCAGUGGGAGCACGCUUAGGCGUGUGACUGCGUACCUUUUGUAUAAUGGGUCAGCGACUUAUAUUCUGUAGCAAGGUUAACCGAAUAGGGGAGCCGAAGGGAAACCGAGUCUUAACUGGGCGUUAAGUUGCAGGGUAUAGACCCGAAACCCGGUGAUCUAGCCAUGGGCAGGUUGAAGGUUGGGUAACACUAACUGGAGGACCGAACCGACUAAUGUUGAAAAAUUAGCGGAUGACUUGUGGCUGGGGGUGAAAGGCCAAUCAAACCGGGAGAUAGCUGGUUCUCCCCGAAAGCUAUUUAGGUAGCGCCUCGUGAAUUCAUCUCCGGGGGUAGAGCACUGUUUCGGCAAGGGGGUCAUCCCGACUUACCAACCCGAUGCAAACUGCGAAUACCGGAGAAUGUUAUCACGGGAGACACACGGCGGGUGCUAACGUCCGUCGUGAAGAGGGAAACAACCCAGACCGCCAGCUAAGGUCCCAAAGUCAUGGUUAAGUGGGAAACGAUGUGGGAAGGCCCAGACAGCCAGGAUGUUGGCUUAGAAGCAGCCAUCAUUUAAAGAAAGCGUAAUAGCUCACUGGUCGAGUCGGCCUGCGCGGAAGAUGUAACGGGGCUAAACCAUGCACCGAAGCUGCGGCAGCGACGCUUAUGCGUUGUUGGGUAGGGGAGCGUUCUGUAAGCCUGCGAAGGUGUGCUGUGAGGCAUGCUGGAGGUAUCAGAAGUGCGAAUGCUGACAUAAGUAACGAUAAAGCGGGUGAAAAGCCCGCUCGCCGGAAGACCAAGGGUUCCUGUCCAACGUUAAUCGGGGCAGGGUGAGUCGACCCCUAAGGCGAGGCCGAAAGGCGUAGUCGAUGGGAAACAGGUUAAUAUUCCUGUACUUGGUGUUACUGCGAAGGGGGGACGGAGAAGGCUAUGUUGGCCGGGCGACGGUUGUCCCGGUUUAAGCGUGUAGGCUGGUUUUCCAGGCAAAUCCGGAAAAUCAAGGCUGAGGCGUGAUGACGAGGCACUACGGUGCUGAAGCAACAAAUGCCCUGCUUCCAGGAAAAGCCUCUAAGCAUCAGGUAACAUCAAAUCGUACCCCAAACCGACACAGGUGGUCAGGUAGAGAAUACCAAGGCGCUUGAGAGAACUCGGGUGAAGGAACUAGGCAAAAUGGUGCCGUAACUUCGGGAGAAGGCACGCUGAUAUGUAGGUGAAGUCCCUCGCGGAUGGAGCUGAAAUCAGUCGAAGAUACCAGCUGGCUGCAACUGUUUAUUAAAAACACAGCACUGUGCAAACACGAAAGUGGACGUAUACGGUGUGACGCCUGCCCGGUGCCGGAAGGUUAAUUGAUGGGGUCAGCGCAAGCGAAGCUCUUGAUCGAAGCCCCGGUAAACGGCGGCCGUAACUAUAACGGUCCUAAGGUAGCGAAAUUCCUUGUCGGGUAAGUUCCGACCUGCACGAAUGGCGUAAUGAUGGCCAGGCUGUCUCCACCCGAGACUCAGUGAAAUUGAACUCGCUGUGAAGAUGCAGUGUACCCGCGGCAAGACGGAAAGACCCCGUGAACCUUUACUAUAGCUUGACACUGAACAUUGAGCCUUGAUGUGUAGGAUAGGUGGGAGGCUUUGAAGUGUGGACGCCAGUCUGCAUGGAGCCGACCUUGAAAUACCACCCUUUAAUGUUUGAUGUUCUAACGUUGACCCGUAAUCCGGGUUGCGGACAGUGUCUGGUGGGUAGUUUGACUGGGGCGGUCUCCUCCUAAAGAGUAACGGAGGAGCACGAAGGUUGGCUAAUCCUGGUCGGACAUCAGGAGGUUAGUGCAAUGGCAUAAGCCAGCUUGACUGCGAGCGUGACGGCGCGAGCAGGUGCGAAAGCAGGUCAUAGUGAUCCGGUGGUUCUGAAUGGAAGGGCCAUCGCUCAACGGAUAAAAGGUACUCCGGGGAUAACAGGCUGAUACCGCCCAAGAGUUCAUAUCGACGGCGGUGUUUGGCACCUCGAUGUCGGCUCAUCACAUCCUGGGGCUGAAGUAGGUCCCAAGGGUAUGGCUGUUCGCCAUUUAAAGUGGUACGCGAGCUGGGUUUAGAACGUCGUGAGACAGUUCGGUCCCUAUCUGCCGUGGGCGCUGGAGAACUGAGGGGGGCUGCUCCUAGUACGAGAGGACCGGAGUGGACGCAUCACUGGUGUUCGGGUUGUCAUGCCAAUGGCACUGCCCGGUAGCUAAAUGCGGAAGAGAUAAGUGCUGAAAGCAUCUAAGCACGAAACUUGCCCCGAGAUGAGUUCUCCCUGACCCUUUAAGGGUCCUGAAGGAACGUUGAAGACGACGACGUUGAUAGGCCGGGUGUGUAAGCGCAGCGAUGCGUUGAGCUAACCGGUACUAAUGAACCGUGAGGCUUAACCUU
rnacentral:rRNA from 1 species